rnacentral:rRNA from 1 species
AUUGAACGCUGGCGACAUGCCUUACACAUGCCAGUCGAACGGCAGCACGGGUGCCUGCACCUGGUGGCGAGUGGCGAACGGGUGAGUAAUACAUCGGAACAUGUCCUGUAGUGGGGGAUAGCCCGGCGAAAGCCGGAUUAAUACCGCAUACGAUCUACGGAUGAAAGCGGGGGACCUUCGGGCCUCGCGCUAUAGGGUUGGCCGAUGGCUGAUUAGCUAGUUGGUGGGGUAAAGGCCUACCAAGGCGACGAUCAGUAGCUGGUCUGAGAGGACGACCAGUCACACUGGGACUGAGACACGGCCCAGACUCCUACGGGAGGCAGCAGUGGGGAAUUUUGGACAAUGGGCGAAAGCCUGAUCCAGCAAUGCCGCGUGUGUGAAGAAGGCCUUCGGGUUGUAAAGCACUUUUGUCCGGAAAGAAAUCCUUGGCCCUAAUACGGUCGGGGGAUGACGGUACCGGAAGAAUAAGCACCGGCUAACUACGUG